rnacentral:rRNA from 1 species
GAGACAGUUCGGUCUCUAUCUAUCGUGGGCGUUGGAGUUUUGAGUGGUGCUGACACUAGUACGAGAGGACCGUGUUGGACAGACCUCCGGUUUGCCGGUUGUGCCGCCAGGCGCACCGCCGGGUAUCCGCGUCUGGAACGGAUAAGCGCUGAAAGCAUCUAAGUGCGAAGCCAUCCGCGAGAUUAGAACUCCUCAUCAGGGUCGUCGUAGACUACGACGUUGAUAGGGCGCAGGUGUAAAGACGGCGACGUCAAAGCCGAGCGCUACUAAUUGCCCGAAAUCUUUGGCCGU